GGUGACAGGUUUACCAGAGUUGUUGAGCGAAUGUAGAGCUGAGUCUACGUCGCGGAAGUACAGAUACGGUUUUCAGGCCUGGAAACGGUGGGCGCAAUCUUGUGAUUGUAAUCUGACGUGAUGCUCGUGUGAGUGGAUGUUCCCUUGUCGGGUCGACCUGUGUAUGGUAUGGUCGUGUUGGCGAGUGAGCCUAAUCAUGCAUUAAAGUUUCUUCGUUCAGAAGCGUAGGCUGACGAGUCUUUAUAAUACGUUUAUUGUGUACAUAUAUUUUUUUUUUUUUGUCUGUUUGGCUGUUGAGCCGAGAGAAUACGAAAUAUGUUUUGUAAUGCAGCUCAGCAUACAGUUGAUUUACCUGUUUUUGGUAUGGUCGGGUCGGCUAGUGAGCUUUUAUGGUACGCUUAUAGUGUGAAUUUACGUGUUUGCUUACUCUUUGUUGAGUUAUGAUAAUUCGUAAUAUAAGUAUUGUAAUGCAGCUAAGCAGAUACUUGAUUUGCAUGUAUAUGAGAGAGGUGUAUUAUCUGUGUUCUAGGCUGGCGAGCCUUGAUAAUACGAGUUCACUUUGAACGUGGUCUGUUUGGACGAGGAUUGUUUCCCUCAUGUGCUAUGUUGUACAGUAUACAUCAUAAUUUGUAUUUAUGGCAUGCUCAGUACAUCAAAGGUUAAGCUGUAAACUCCCCAGAAAGGUGCCGCUGACUUCGUCGGGAGAACACGGUCCAGAGUAAUUUUCUCUUGAAUGCAGUUUUUGAUCUCUGUUUACGUGUCGGGCAGCGGUUCCACACCUGAUGAUGUAAUGUUGAAGGAGGGAAGUGUAUUUUGAAGGUUGGUGUGUUGAUGUCACACUGUUUGCAAUAUUUGUAAUAAACUGCCGUGUGUCGACACUGCGACCGGGCCAAUAUUC
rnacentral:lncRNA from 1 species